rnacentral:rRNA from 1 species
AGAAUGAACGUUGGCGGCGUGGAUUAGGCAUGCAAGUCGUACGGGCCGCAAGGCCAGUGGCGCAAGGGUGAGUAAGGCGACGGUAACCAACCCCAUGACUGGGUAUAGCCGCGGGAAACCGCGGGUAAUCCCCAGCGACGUCCGGGGGGGGCAUCCCCCCGGGACCAAAGCUCCGGCGUCGUGGGACGGGCCGUCGUGGUAUUAGCUUGUUGGCGGGGUAAUGGCCCACCAAGGCUGCGAUGCCUACCGGGCGUGCGAGCGUGGCCCGGCACACUGGGACUGAGACACUGCCCAGACUCCUACGGGAGGCUGCAGUCGAGAAUCUUCGGCAAUGGGCGCAAGCCUGACCGAGCGACGCCGCGUGGAGGACGAAGGCCUUCGGGUUGUAAACUCCUGUCGAGGGGGAAGAAGGCCGGGUCACCGGCUUGACUGAUCCCUGGAGGAAGCACGGGCUAAGUUCGCGCCAGCAGCCGC